CUAGGCUAUGUAUCAGUUGUUGGUAUAAUCACCUGUACCAGUUGCUUGGGGGAAUAUUCUGGCUGUGUAUCGGGACAUUAUGCCAAAUCCGUCUGUUCCUGCGACUGCAAAUGUGUGAAAAUGCGUCUGUUUUUCUUGAAAUAUGUGUGUUUUGCUUGCGAUAUGUGUGUUUUUCUUGUCAUAAGUGAGUUAGUGUAAUUGUGUAAGUAAUUGCAGGCGCUGGUAUAUACUACGACUGAUUAGAGGCAAAGUCGUCUCCCAGGUGUUAGAAAUGCUCAGAUGGCGUGAGGAAUCUUUUGUUAUUCUCCAUGUUUAUCUUCGCAAUUAGAAUCUCCCUGGCAGUGUUUCCAUUGAUCCAUGUCCAAGUCUUUACCACACACACACACACACACAUCCAAAGGUGUCAGCCCGGGCUGCAGUGCAGUCAGACACACGCAUAGACAUGUACGUGUGCCCGAGUGUGUGUACGCAUGUCUUAUAGUAGGAUGGGCUCUGUUUUGAUGUUCUCUUUCUUUGUUUAUGUUUUUCUCUCUCUCUCCAUCUUUCCCACCAGAUUUUGCACUGCUGCAGCAGACAGAAAAGUGAGGCUGUUGACUUCUGAUCUUCAGAAUCAACAUGAAGUCAAGGUGAUGGAGGGUCACACCAGCUCCAUCAACCACUUAGUGUUUGAACCCACGGAGGGGAAACAAAUGGCUUCGGUCAGCGAUGACCAUACAUGCAGGUCAGUCCGAACCUCCUCCCGGUCUCAUUCAGCAAGAAUAAUAUGAGUGUGUGAGAGUGUGUCUUCCCCCAGUUCUUGGAUCUGUGUUCUGUUCUCUGUUAAUGGUGCAGAACGUCCUGACUGUGUUUCCAAAAUGAAACCCAAUGCUUAGCACAACACACCCCGGUGUUGCCGUGCGUAAGCACACAGCCGCUUCUCCAGCUUUUUAAAGUAAUUGGUUAAAUAUGGAUAUCCAAUUAGCUGCGGUACUGGUGGAGGUUGUUUCCCUCCUUAGGUUUGACUCUUAACAAGGUCCCCCAAUGUGGCCUAUCAAUCAGUAGCUAGGUAGUGGAGCAAGGAAGGAAAGAGUGUGUCGUUAGCCAAAGGGGUAACCUGGGCACAGGAGGUUGGUGGUACCUUAAUUUGGGAGAGCGAGCUCAUGGUAAUGACUGGAGCAGAAUCAGUGGAAUGGUAUCAAAUCCAUGGUUUCCAGGUGUUUGCUAUUCCAUUUGCUCCGUUCCGGCUAUUAUUAUGAGCCGUUCUCCCCUCAGCAGCCUCCACUGAACCUGAGGGGACCUCCUGUUACCUUAGUAACUAGGGUUGUUGCUAGGGUCUAGACAGGGCGAAAGCCUGGCCCAAAACCUACUCCCUCUUUGCUCCUUCCCACACAAUGUGAGCUCUUAUUGUUUGACCAGUGAUUGAUGGGGGAGAACGUUUAAUCAAGUUAGCAACUUAGAAAUGAAUGACUGGCCCCUACUUUUCUCUCCGCUAGAGCCUGAAAGAGCACGUCCCUCAUAUCCAUCUUUAAACCCAAAGCUCCCUGGAUGAGAAACACACCUGAAACAUCUGCUUCUAUUCAUAAACUCAUAAUUUCAGGAGCCUGAAGCUCGCGGUUACACUUCCAGUCAUCAAAUACAGGCCAUGGUUGAAUUAUCUCCUCAAUCUCCUUCCGGCCUGCCUAAAUGCUCUAAAGUGUUGGUUAGGAUGAGGGCUGUGGGGGGAGAGAGGCCUCCGCUAGGGCUGGUGAUGAAGCUCUGCUACUGCGAGAAACAUCAGCUCACAGUUCUCCCUCAGCCUCCCUCUAUAAUGGUCUGGCCAGAGAAAACAGGGGUACGCUCUCUCGGCUCCAUCUGCAGAAAGAUUUAACUUCUGUCACGUUGAGAAAAUAUGGGACGCAGGAGAAAGAGUGGGGUGGAACUAGGGAAAGAUCAAGUUAACAGGAGAGGGGCCUUCCAGGCAGCCCACACAAACUGAGACCCCUGAUAGGGUGAGAGAAAAGAACAGUGGACCGGCUUCUCUACUUGCGUGCGUGUUCGUACACUUGGCAAGUUGUCCUACCAUAACUCUGCUUUGUUCUUUGUCAGCCCUGUCCUUUCCUGCGUGGGAACUCUACUCCAGCCGGAGAGGCCACCUGUAGCAGCUAGAAGGAGGUCACAGCCUCCCACUGAGGUCAGAGUGUCUGCCAGAGGUCCCAACCUCUCUGGGCUCGGCUCCCAUUGUGUCUCAUAGCUUCCAGUUGGAUUUGCAGUAGGUAUGUUUCUGUUGUGUGAGAUGGAUUCCUCACUUCAGCCAGCUCUGGUUUCGUGUUGACAUGGAUCAGCAGAAUACAGCUUACUCAAGGGGCUUGAACAGAGACACCUGCUGCAACUAUUUGAUGUGCGAGAUCUACUCUGUGUGUGUGAUCUACUCUGUGUGUGUGAUCUACUCUGUGUGACAUCCUUUUGGGAAGUAUUUCUGAGGCGUUAUCACAACAGUUUGAGCCUUUCUCGCCACUCUAGCCCGUCAGUCAAGCUAUCUGUCAGUUAGUAUGUCCAUGUCCACUCUACAACAUCCCAGUCUUUCAUCUCCUCGUUUCUCCUUUUCUUCUCAUGUUCUCAAGCUUUUUUUGCUCCGUGCUACGGGAUCCCAUCAUCAACUCUAGCGAGAGGAGCAAACCGAUCCAAUAAAAAUGACUAAUGGCCGAGAUAAUUAUUUCAACAGUCCAAAUGUCUGUUAAAGAACAUGUUAUUGUUCAAGACACUUGAGCAGGUCUGAUCAAGAUGGAUGUUGGUGUGGUUUUGAGGAGAGGAGGACGGCGUGCUGUGCUCCUCUGCCUGGACUCCCCUGUGAGGCUCUGAGGUGUGAUUACUGUUUGUCUUUCUCAACCUUCGUUCUGCCGAGAGUCGCCAAGGUUAUUUACCCUGCACACUCUCAUAAUUUAGUUCACACGGUGCACACUACGUUUCCCAUUUCCUCCGCUCAUUUGGAAACCGUUGACCAAAAUGAAAAGGUGCGGCUGCUGUUGUCUCACUCACAUCUACACACAGACUUCAAAUGCAGUCUCGCCUUUCAACUCUAUUGUACACGAAGCCCAGUGUUAUUGCUUGAUGUCACGUCAGCUGUAGUGUUAUGCAGUUACAAAUCUCUUUGUCAGUGGUGGUCUCAGUCUUGUUUCUUGCCCCCUUUCACCUUGUUCAGCAAGGAUUACAUUGAAACAUUUUUUAAAUAAGAAUCUUUCCCCAUUUGAAGGGCAAAGUGGUGGACCACAACUUGGCCGGAUGUGGCGUAGCGUGCGAUUGAACUCUGCUUGGCGAGUGGUCUGAGUAGAGAGGGUUUAUGCUUGUUUGUCUGCUGUGGUCUGAGGUUUCCAACCUCGCUCAUGGUCUAUGGAGGAGGGUCUGCACCGCACUCUACACAGGGCCAUUCUGACUUCUGUGUUGUGUCAAGAAGCAAAAGCUCUCAUGGAGAAAUGUUUUAUCCCCUGCAGGGAAGACACAGGAAAAGUUGUGUUUGUUUAAUGAGGUCUUCAUCUGGGAUGGGGCAAAAUCAUAUCCUCUCCGCCGAUGACUCUGCAGACAUCUCUCCAACAUGUUUGACAUUUAGACAGGCUUUGGGUCUUUAUUAGAUGUCUUUUGCAUGACCUCAUCAGUCAACGCAUUCACAUCGGUCCCAACCAUACAGUCCUUUAAAAAACAUUUUUUAACCACUUGCAAGUUUAUUCCUCCCUGGUUCAGGGGAAUGUUCUGUUAGAUACGAGGCCUUGUGUUCGCUGAGGAGGGCUCUCAAAUGUGGUUGAAGAGUAGAUCCUGGUCUCGGGAGCAGCCUGUCCUCUCCAAGUGAUUUAUUACAUCCGGGCGCACGUUUGCCUUGUCCUCGGCCUUCUCGCUCGUCAGCGCAGGGCCCCGCCCGCCUGUCUUCACAGCUCAAGGGGGAGAUUACAACCAAGAUCCCUUUUUCCCUGAAAGAAGGGCAGUGCUAGUGAGGCUCUGUGUGCGCAUCUCUUGGACAACUGACAGAAGUUAGAUAAAUUACACACAGGCAUUACGUGCUUUCGUAAAAACACUGGCAUCACUACAGGCCUGGUGUGUGCUGCUCACUCAUUAGAGUACAUUCCCUAAAAGAGUCUCACAGACGCCUGGGGAAAGAUGGGUUUGGAUGGAAGCUUGUAACUUUUUUGACAUGGAUCCUGUGAGACAAAAACAGCCAGCCAGCCAGCCAUGAUGUCUUUGUUGUUUUUCAUAUUUUUAGCUGCCAUUAGCGUGUGUAAUCCUUUGUUUUGUGUGCUGUCAGCACCAAGGCGUCUGCCUGCGCUGUGCUGCGCGUCAUCUCCUCUCCCCACACAGGGGGUGGCUGGACUCCGGAAGCUAUUUUUAGCAUUGCCGCGCAUCCCACUCCAGCACAGCUAAUUGAGUGCUUAUUAAUUUUGUUUUUUGGACUUGAUAAUUUCUCAUUUUUGACAGGACCUGUUUUAUCUGAAGCUUCGGACCGGGUUGUUUGUUUGAAUCGCAGACUUCCUGUCUGAGGUUGUUUUCUAAACGGGUAGUUGAGGACAGGAGAAUAAUUUUCUUACAGUCCUUAAACGGUUCAUUUCCCCUGAGCACACCCCCUCUCCCUUUCAUGCCAGAUGGCCUCUCAGUAACAGUGCAUUCCAGUUUCAUCAUGAGAGUUUAAAUAAUUAGUGAGAGUGAAAAGUUCUAGUGUGAGAGUGAAAAGUUCUAGUGUGGGAGUGAAAAGAUCUAGUGUGGGAGUGAAAAGAUCUAGUGUGAGAGUGAAAAGUUCUAGUGUGGGAGUGAAAAGAUCUAGUGUGGGAGUGAAAAGAUCUAGUGCGGGAGUGAAAAGAUCUAGUGUGGGAGUGAAAAUAUCUAGUGUGGGAGUGAAAAGAUCUAGUGUGAGAGUGAAAAGAUCUAGUGUGGGAGUGAAAAGAUCUAGUGUUAGAGUGAAAAUAUCUAGUGUGGGAGUGAAAAGAUCUAGUGUGGGAGUGAAAAGAUCUAGUGAAAGUGAAAAGAUCUCGCCAUACUAAACCUUGAUCCUCUGUACAGCUGAUGGUGGCCGAGAAGAAGAGACGAUCUGCUUCUAUGACCUGGUUACCCAGCAAGCCAUUCUUUCUCUGGAUUGCGGCCAGUCGCCACUCAUGUCGGCCGACUGGUGCCUCGCCAACACCAUCAAGGUGGGCGCGGUGACGGGCAGCGACUGGGUCAUCUGGGAUAUUACCCGCUCCAGUUACCCACAAGAGAAGAGGCCUGCCCAUGUAGAACGAGCAGGAAACUUCAGAUAACUGCUUUGUCCAUGCUUCCAAGGUCAUUUCUAUCUGGUAUCAUUGGGAUGUCCCUCCCACAUUGAAAUUGAUAUGUUAAAUGGUUAAGGUAAAGGUUUAGGGUAGGAAUGUCCCAAGGAUCCUGAAUGCUUCCAAUUCCUCUGACCUUCAGAGUAUUGUGAUGCAUGUUGUGGUAGUCCGGCUGAUACCGCUGCUGCCGACGACGUCCAUGAUAAUGACUGUGGUGAUGGUGAUAAUGGUGAUGGCAAUUACUGUAACCACGGGUGUCAUGUCUUCCAGGUGUUCUCGGGUCAAUGAGAAUCUCUUCUCCACAACAGGAUGUCCAGGCAAGAUCAGCAGUCAGUUACUAGUGCAUCACCUGGGUCACCCGCAGCCCGUGAUGAUUGGAUCAGCCACGGUGGGGGCAGGUCUAAACUGGCAGAGGUCCCUCCCACUCUGUGUCAUUGGCGGUGACCGAAAGCUCUCUUUUUGGAUGACAGAAAUGUAAUGCAGUCACUUCCUAUGGACGUAUUAGAGGUAAUGCAAAUGUACAUUGAAACUGUUUGACCCGAGUUGUGGUCGGAUAUUUAUAUUUUCAUCAUUUUUCAAUAAAGUAUUUAAUUUUC